GACGAACGCUGGCGGCGCGCUUAACACAUGCAAGUCGUGCGGUACCGAUGGCAAGUCUUCAUGACGAGCCUUCGGUAUAGCGGCGGACGGGUGAGUAACACGUGAGUAGCUGUCCUAGGGAGGGGGAUAACGCCUGGAAACGGGUGCUAAAACCCCAUAAGCCUCGCAAGAGGUGAAAGUGUACUUGUUACAGCCUUAGGGUGUGCUCGCGGCCUAUCAGCUAGUUGGUGAGGUAAGGGCUCACCAAGGCUAAGACGGGUAGCCGGCCUGAGAGGGUGUACGGCCACACUGGAACUGAGACACGGUCCAGACUCCUACGGGAGGCAGCAGUGGGGAAUUUUGGACAAUGGGCGCAAGCCUGAUCCAGCAAUGCCGCGUGCAGGAUGAAGGCCUUCGGGUUGUUAAACUGUCUUUUGUUACGGAACGAAAAGGCUCUAGGUUAAUACCUAGGGGCUCAUGACGGUACCGUAAGAAGUAAGACACCGGCUAACUACGUCGCAGCAGCCGCGGUAAUAGUA
rnacentral:rRNA from 1 species